rnacentral:rRNA from 1 species
CGUUAUAGCCGGCGAUGUCCGAAUGGGGAAACCCAGUGUGAUUCGUCACACUAUCGUUAACUGAAUACAUAGGUUAACGAGGCGAACCGGGGGAACUGAAACAUCUAAGUACCCCGAGGAAAAGAAAUCAACCGAGAUUCCCCCAGUAGCGGCGAGCGAACGGGGAGCAGCCCAGAGUCUGAAUCAGCUUGUGUGUUAGUGGAACGGUCUGGAAAGUCCGACGGUACAGGGUGAUAGUCCCGUACACCAAAAUGCACAGGCUGUGAACUCGAAGAGUAGGGCGGGACACGUGGUAUCCUGUCUGAAUAUGGGGGGACCAUCCUCCAAGGCUAAAUACUCCUGACUGACCGAUAGUGAACCAGUACCGUGAGGGAAAGGCGAAAAGAACCCCGGCGAGGGGAGUGAAAAAGAACCUGAAACCGUGUACGUACAAGCAGUGGGAGCACCUUCGGGUGUGACUGCGUACCUUUUGUAUAAUGGGUCAGCGACUUAUAUUCUGUAGCAAGGUUAACCGUAUAGGGGAGCCGCAGGGAAACCGAGUCUUAACUGGGCGUUAAGUUGCAGGGUAUAGACCCGAAACCCGGUGAUCUAGCCAUGGGCAGGUUGAAGGUUGGGUAACACUAACUGGAGGACCGAACCGACUAAUGUUGAAAAAUUAGCGGAUGACUUGUGGCUGGGGGUGAAAGGCCAAUCAAACCGGGAGAUAGCUGGUUCUCCCCGAAAGCUAUUUAGGUAGCGCCUCGUGAACUCAUCUUCGGGGGUAGAGCACUGUUUCGGCUAGGGGGUCAUCCCGACUUACCAACCCGAUGCAAACUACGAAUACCGAAGAAUGUUAUCACGGGAGACACACGGCGGGUGCUAACGUCCGUCGUGAAGAGGGAAACAACCCAGACCGCCAGCUAAGGUCCCAAAGUCAUGGUUAAGUGGGAAACGAUGUGGGAAGGCACAGACAGCCAGGAUGUUGGCUUAGAAGCAGCCAUCAUUUAAAGAAAGCGUAAUAGCUCACUGGUCGAGUCGGCCUGCGCGGAAGAUGUAACGGGGCUAAACCAUGCACCGAAGCUGCGGCAGCGACACUAUGUGUUGUUGGGUAGGGGAGCGUUCUGUAAGCCUGCGAAGGUGUGCUGUGAGGCAUGCUGGAGGUAUCAGAAGUGCGAAUGCUGACAUAAGUAACGAUAAAGCGGGUGAAAAGCCCGCUCGCCGGAAGACCAAGGGUUCCUGUCCAACGUUAAUCGGGGCAGGGUGAGUCGACCCCUAAGGCGAGGCCGAAAGGCGUAGUCGAUGGGAAACAGGUUAAUAUUCCUGUACUUGGUGUUACUGCGAAGGGGGGACGGAGAAGGCUAUGUUAGCCGGGCGACGGUUGUCCCGGUUUAAGCAUGUAGGCUGGUUGUCCAGGCAAAUCCGGAUAAUCAAGGCUGAGGUGUGAUGACGAGGCACUACGGUGCUGAAGUAACAAAUGCCCUGCUUCCAGGAAAAGCCUCUAAGCAUCAGGUAACAUCAAAUCGUACCCCAAACCGACACAGGUGGUCAGGUAGAGAAUACCAAGGCGCUUGAGAGAACUCGGGUGAAGGAACUAGGCAAAAUGGUGCCGUAACUUCGGGAGAAGGCACGCUGGUGUGUAGGUGAAGUCCCUGCGGAUGGAGCUGAGACCAGUCGAAGAUACCAGCUGGCUGCAACUGUUUAUUAAAAACACAGCACUGUGCAAACACGAAAGUGGACGUAUACGGUGUGACGCCUGCCCGGUGCCGGAAGGUUAAUUGAUGGGGUUAUCCGUAAGGAGAAGCUCUUGAUCGAAGCCCCGGUAAACGGCGGCCGUAACUAUAACGGUCCUAAGGUAGCGAAAUUCCUUGUCGGGUAAGUUCCGACCUGCACGAAUGGCGUAAUGAUGGCCAGGCUGUCUCCACCCGAGACUCAGUGAAAUUGAACUCGCUGUGAAGAUGCAGUGUACCCGCGGCAAGACGGAAAGACCCCGUGAACCUUUACUAUAGCUUGACACUGAACAUUGAGCCUUGAUGUGUAGGAUAGGUGGGAGGCUUUGAAGCGUGGACGCCAGUCUGCGUGGAGCCAACCUUGAAAUACCACCCUUUAAUGUUUGAUGUUCUAACGUUGGCCCCUUACCGGGGUUGCGGACAGUGUCUGGUGGGUAGUUUGACUGGGGCGGUCUCCUCCCAAAGCGUAACGGAGGAGCACGAAGGUUAGCUAAUCCUGGUCGGACAUCAGGAGGUUAGUGCAAUGGCAUAAGCUAGCUUGACUGCGAGCGUGACGGCGCGAGCAGGUGCGAAAGCAGGUCAUAGUGAUCCGGUGGUUCUGAAUGGAAGGGCCAUCGCUCAACGGAUAAAAGGUACUCCGGGGAUAACAGGCUGAUACCGCCCAAGAGUUCAUAUCGACGGCGGUGUUUGGCACCUCGAUGUCGGCUCAUCACAUCCUGGGGCUGAAGUAGGUCCCAAGGGUAUGGCUGUUCGCCAUUUAAAGUGGUACGCGAGCUGGGUUUAGAACGUCGUGAGACAGUUCGGUCCCUAUCUGCCGUGGGCGCUGGAGAAUUGAGGGGGGCUGCUCCUAGUACGAGAGGACCGGAGUGGACGCAUCACUGGUGUUCGGGUUGUCAUGCCAAUGGCACUGCCCGGUAGCUAAAUGCGGAAGAGAUAAGUGCUGAAAGCAUCUAAGCACGAAACUUGCCCCGAGAUGAGUUCU